rnacentral:rRNA from 1 species
CCCUACGGGAGGCAGCAGUGGGGAAUUUUGGACAAUGGGCGCAAGCCUGAUCCAGCAAUGCCGCGUGCAGGAAGAAGGCCUUCGGGUUGUAAACUGCUUUUGUACGGAACGAAACGGUCCUGGUUAAUACCCGGGGCUAAUGACGGUACCGUAAGAAUAAGCACCGGCUAACUACGUGCCAGCAGCCGCGGUAAUACGUAGGGUGCGAGCGUUAAUCGGAAUUACUGGGCGUAAAGCGUGCGCAGGCGGUCUUGUAAGACAGGCGUGAAAUCCCCGGGCUCAACCUGGGAAUUGCGCUUGUGACUGCAAGGCUGGAGUGCGGCAGAGGGGGAUGGAAUUCCGCGUGUAGCAGUGAAAUGCGUAGAUAUGCGGAGGAACACCGAUGGCGAAGGCAAUCCCCUGGGCCUGCACUGACGCUCAUGCACGAAAGCGUGGGGAGCAAACAGGAUUAGAUACCCCUGUAGUCAU